rnacentral:rRNA from 1 species
AUUGAACGCUGGCGGCAGGCCUAACACAUGCAAGUCGAGCGAGCGGCGGACGGGUGAGUAAUGUAUGGGGACUGCCCGAUAGAGGGGGAUAACUAAUGGUAACGGUAGCUAAUACCGCAUACUAUCGGAUAACCCAUAUGGGAUUGGCUAGUUGUUGAGGUAAUGGCUCACCAAGGCUACGAUCCCUAGCUGGUCUGAGAGGAUGAUCAGCCAAACUGGGACUGAGACACGGCCCAGACACCUACGGAGGCAGCAGUGGGGAAUAUUGCACAAUGGGCGCAAGCCGGAUACAGCCAUGCCGCGUGUAUGAAGAAGGCCCUAGGGUUGUAAAGUACUGUCAGUCGGGAGGCGUUACCGACAGAAGAAGCACCGGCUAACUCCGUGCCAGCCGCCGCGGUAAUAC